UGUCUCUUUCAGCUAUGAAGUGUGUGAAUAAUAGUUCCACUCAGAAAGAAAGAAGAAAUCUCACUGGACUGAUAUCUACUGAAUCUUGUUAGGCUUUUGAACUUUUCUGAAGACCCAUUAUGAGAUUACUUCCUGCUGAAAAACUAGUGCUUGCACUACAUUUAACCAUAGGCCUGCUGAUCCUGCCACUACUUACAGAAUGUGAUCAAAUCAGGCUGGUUGGGCCGUCGCGUUGCUCUGGCAGAGUGGAGGUCAGCCACAAUGACAGCUGGGGCACUGUGUGCGAUGACCACUGGAGCCUUAACAAUGCUGCCGUGGUGUGCAGAGAGGUAAACUGUGGCUCGGUGCUUGAGGCCAAAAAGUAUGCCUUUUUUGGGGAGGGGAAGGAAAGGAUUUGGCUGGACAAUGUGCAGUGCAUGGGUAACGAGUCCUCCAUCCUUAAGUGUAAGCACAAGCCAUUUGGGAUCAGUAACUGUGGCCAUGAUGAAGACGCUGGAGAGUCGUCUGUUCAGGUAAGACUGAGUUCACUCACUUAUCUGUGCCAUAUUUGCUUGGCUCAACAUACUAUUAAGAUACUUUUAUUUAUUGAAAAAAAAAUGUUGAUUGAGUUUGAGUCGGGAAAUUGUCCUGGGAAUACAAAGAUACAUCCACGCGGUCAGCGCAAAGCACGAGAAGAAAAAGUUGAUUUUGUGUCCAGUUUUCUUCCGAUUCAUUCUGUGUUGGCUUAACUAACCUGAGCUGCUAAAGUGGACGGAAGUGUUUGGGUAAAAGGGUAAAGCUGUGCAUAAACAAACUUAAACCUUAAAAUGUGGAACUGCCCCAGUUUACCAGUUCACAGAAAUUGGGAAAUGCAGCGGGGUUGAGAAAACACAAGAUUUGUCUUACAUCUAGAAACUGUAAGUGUUGGGUCUGAAAAUACCACAACAGCACUGAUACACACAGAGACGAGAACAAUAUAGCACACUGAGAGCCAACCAGAGAUUUUACUUGGCCAAGGGGAGUUCGCCUGAGAUCUUAGCGUUGUAAGCUCUUCACUCAGAGACCAACCAACUCCAACGAACUUCCCCAAAGCACAACAUUUUAUUGAAGCUUGUACACGCCUCCAUCAUCACAUCAUCACAUCAUUGCUGAACAUGCAGAAACACACACAUUAGGCAUAGCAGUACUCCUCCAACCCCUCGUAGGAGCACAGAGCAAAUGGCAAAUGUGACAAAAUUGUUCUUCGUAUAUGACAAUACUUGAAAACUUGUGGUUAGAAGUCUGUGCACCUGUCAAUGGGGUUAUAAGGCACAGCAAAUGCAAACCAUAAAUGGAAAAUGUAAAAAAGGUAAAUGAUACAUAAAUGAAAUGAAUAUAAAUGAAAUGGAUAAAUGAUUAUAUGGGUUAAAUGAUAUAGAAUAAACACCAAAGAUAAAUGAGAUUAAUUAUAUAUGAAAAUAUAUUUUCUCCAACAGUAAGUGUCAGCGGAAUACUGUAACAAACUUUAGUGGGGAACGUAAAUAUUAAUGAUUGCCUGGCGUAUAAUGGAUAGAUGAAGUUCUAACCUCUCGUUGCAAACUACUGUACGUGUGUUUGCAGAAACCUUAAGGGUUGUCAACGGAAGCAAUCGGUGUAAUGGCAGGAUAGAAGUCUUCCAGAAUGAGCG